rnacentral:rRNA from 1 species
AGUAAUAUAUCGGAACGUGCCCAGUCGUGGGGGAUAACGUAGAGAAAUUUACGCUAAUACCGCAUACGAUCCAAGGAUGAAAGCGGGGGACCGUAAGGCCUCGCGCGACUGGAGCGGCUGAUAUCAGAUUAGGUUGUUGGUGAGGUAAAAGCUCACCAAGCCGACGAUCUGUAGCUGGUUUGAGAGAACGACCAGCCACACUGGGACUGAGACACGGCCCAG